rnacentral:rRNA from 1 species
AGUGAACGCUGGCGGUAGGCCUAACACAUGCAAGUCGAACGGCAGCACAGAGGAGCUUGCUCCUUGGGUGGCGAGUGGCGGACGGGUGAGGAAUACAUCGGAAUCUACUCUGUCGUGGGGGAUAACGUAGGGAAACUUACGCUAAUACCGCAUACGACCUACGGGUGAAAGCAGGGGACCUUCGGGCCUUGCGCGAUUGAAUGAGCCGAUGUCGGAUUAGCUAGUUGGCGGGGUAAAGGCCCACCAAGGCGACGAUCCGUAGCUGGUCUGAGAGGAUGAUCAGCCACACUGGAACUGACGCACGGUCCAGACUCCUACGGGAGGCAGCAGUGGGGAAUAUUGGACAAUGGGCGCAAGCCUGAUCCAGCCAUACCGCGUGGGUGAAGAAGGCCUUCGGGUUGUAAAGCCCUUUUGUUGGGAAAGAAAUCCAGCUGGCUAAUACCCGGUGGGGAUGACGGUACCCAAAGAAUGAGCACCGGCUAACUUCGUGCCAGCCGCCGCGGUAA